rnacentral:rRNA from 1 species
AAAAGCACUUUGAAAAGAGAGUGCAGAGACGUGAAACCGUUAUAGUGGAAGCGGAUGGAGCCGACGUAUCCAGUGCGUAUUCAGCCGUCRUCRAGUGCAAUUUGCUUGUUUGAAGUUCUGCAAAGUCUUCGGCAGGCGAGUGUUGUGCUCGGUGGCGGUGCAUUUGCGUACAGAGUGCGCCGAAUCGGUUGGACUUGUCGUUUGAAGUCCGUCAAGAGGACCAGCUUGCUGGAAACCUGGGCGGUCGGAUCGCGAAUAAGUGUAGCUGUAUAAAACGAGCUGGUGAAUUCGUGGUUGCUUGGCGUGUGGUAGUUUGUUUAUGUUAAGCGCGUGCGUUUGGCAUUUACUAAUUGCUUCAUGCUAAGUUGCUGCACUGCUCGCAUUCGGUGUCCAGUCGGUCACCCAUUUGACCCGUCUUGAAACACGGACCAAGGAGUUUAGGGUGUACGCAAGUCAUUGGGUGUUGAAACUCAAAGGCGUAAUGAAAGUGGGACACUUGGUGUCUGUGAUGUGACCCGUGAGUGAUUCGUUGCUCGUGGGGCAACAUCGACCCAUGACCAGGACUUGUUCUGUUGUGGAGUCUGAGCGUACGCUUUGAGACCCGAAAGAUGGUGAACUAUGCCCGAACAGGACGAAGUCAGAGGAAACUCUGAUGGAAGUCCGAAGCGGUUCUGACGUGCAAAUCGAUCGUCUGAUUUGGGUAUA